AGCGCAAGGGAUGUGCUGCUCGACAGGGAGUUGGGCCAGGGAUUUACCAGGAUGUUGAGUCAGGAUGACUGGGCAAUGGACAGCUAAAUGGACUGAAGAGUGGGCGGGUUAUCCCGCCCCUUUUUUU
rnacentral:sRNA from 1 species